AGGUAACGUCAAGACCCGAGGAUAUUAGCCUCAGGCUUUUCUUCCCCAUUGAAAGUGCUUUACAACCCGCAGGCCUUCUUCACACACGCGGCAUUGCUGGAUCAGGCUUGCGCCCAUUGUCCAAUAUUCCCCA
rnacentral:rRNA from 1 species